AUUUUUUUUUCUGAAAAAACAAAACAAGAGUCCAUGGCUUUAUCACAUUCACAAAGAACGCCUUACAAUCCAAACAAGAUCCACACACCUGCUUGCCAGUGGCACAUUGACAUGUGGGUCCCACAGACACCCCAAGAAACAGCAGCUUUGUCCAGUCUUGUCCAAUGUAGGACUCAGAGCUUUUCUCUUAAGAUUAGAAUGGCAUGGUAAGCCUCCUCUUCUUACCAGCUGAGAAGCUAUUAGAAAAAUCUGCGAGUGACUAUCUGAGGCCCGGGGCAUUACGUAUGCCCACUGUGUUCCCCGAUGCUUAGCUACUACACUUUGGGAAAUACCAGUUUUCUGACGUGAUCUCUGAUUUGUGCUCUCGUUGAUGCUUUCCCGUUAGUGUCCCAUUAGUUCCAGGUCCACAAUUAAUUGUUGCUCGAACAAUCUCCUAUGUUUGCCCUGUAGGUAAUUACAGUGGUUACUGUUCAGUGAAUAAAUGGUCCAUGGUGUUGACAAUGGGCUUGGAGUGCAAUAUGUGCCCCAGGUCUAAAUCAUGUUGGGUGCAAAAUAUUAACUGGCGAUGACAUUUUCUGCACCAUUUGAGAUAAUACAUACUUUGAUUAGAUUGCUUUACCGUUUCUUGGGCUUUAGUCUCCUAACACUUUCUUCCAUGAGAAGGCUGUAGGUGUCUCAGAGUCCCACAGAACUUCAGAACUGAGCCAGUCUGAGAAAUCACCUUUGCGAUUCUUUAUCCUGGCUGGGCACUGAGUUCAAACCACUGAGCAACUUGGCUCAAACCAUCAAAAUCAAACUUUCUGGGCAGAGGCUUAGCAGUAGUAGUAUUUAAAACUUGGCAGGUUUUGGGGCAUAGGGGGCUGCUUGGAGAGAUGGCUCAGCCAUUAAGAGCACUUGUUGCUCUUGUAGCGGGAUAGGAUUCCUAGUACCACACAGCGGCUCACACCUAUCUGUAACACCAGUUCCAGAGUUCUGAUGCCCUCUUCUGACCUCCACAGGUACUGCACACAUGUGGUGCACAUACCUACAUGCUGGCAAAACAUCCACACACCUAACAUAAAAGUAAGUAAGUAAGUAAGUAAGUAAGUAAGUAAGUAAGUAAGUAAAUAAAUAAAUAAAUAAAUAAACCUUUAAAAAAUAACUGGAAAGCAGCUGCCCAGAGAGAGCUGAGAACUCCUGACAGGUCCCAUACCAUGGUCAUGAAUAAGCAGAUUGGUUGCCAGAAACGGUACAACCCUGAGACAUCCAUCAAAGCCAAGGAAAGAUGGAAGCAGAACUCGAACUCAGGUCCAAAGGACUUUCUUGGCUUGAUGCUGCCCAUGUGUUCCUGGGGGAGCCCCAGGCCUGCCCCUGCACCUGGCGAUACUGGGGUUUCUGGCAUUGGCACCCUGACUUGAAGGCCUACACUUCUGGGCCCCCUGCCUUAUUUCACACAGCCAAAUUCGUUUCUGAGCAGUCGGUGGUUGAGGCUUCCAACAAAGCCCAAACCACAGACGGAUUGAGGAGAGGACUUUAAAUCUUAACUUACAGCUUUGUCUCAUCUAGUUUUGCUGCAACUGUUUUGAGCAUUUGGCCCGUACAGUACCUGCUUUGGGAGCCUGUGGAAAUCUGGUUUGGUGGCCUUUUAUAGAAUCAACUUUUGUAAAAGUUCCACAGAGGCAGGGAAAAUGAUUCAAUCUUAGAUGUAAGCUGCGGAAUUCUUUAUUAGCCUACUAAUGCAUAAUAGAUACAACCGCCUAAUUACAUUACUAUUGUGUGCUCCGUGCCUUUGUUUACUUCAUCUAUCAAAGGCUGUGAGGCUGUUACACUUCCUUCCCGCUUUUGUCUCUGAGCAGCUCGUGCGUGAGUUUCAGGAGGUUUGGCUCUGUUGCCUUUGAAUUUAUGUUGUUUUGAGCAUAAACGUUCAUCACAAUUGUGUCUUUAUUUUUCAGCCAUGCGUAUCCUUGCCUAGUGUGAACAGCAGGUACUUAAUAGAUAUUCACGGGCUGCACCAAGAACUGAAAUAUUUAUGAAGGCAAAAUAAACCUCUGUCACUUACUGCUUCUUGUGCUGCAUCUUCCUUGAUAGCAAUAACAUUACCCUUAUUAACUUAUGGUUAUGUUUGCCCAUCAUAGCUUUGAGCUCCUUUUAUUUAUACUCUACCAAGAUUACUAUAUCUAUCUAUGUAUAUCACAUAGACAGACAGACAGACAGACAGACAGACAGGCAGGCAGGCAGGCAGGCAGGCAGGCAGGCAGGCAGACAGAUGAUUCCAGGAGGCACCAGGUACAAGAGGUACAAGCAUAUACACUUAUUACUGCAAUAAGCACUUGAUCAUGAAUUUCUUGUCUCAUUGCCUCUCAUGAUCUUUUUAUGUUCCAUUUCAUUUUCUGGGCUUCCAUUUAAAGUACAGCUUUGUUUUCAUUGCCUUUCUGGUUGUAUAAAUUUACCUUGCUCCAGGUAUCAGCCUGAAGGAGCACCUCUUGAUGUCCUGAAGAAAGGAAGAAGUUGUAACCUUACUGACCUGGCUUAGCCCUCUGCUGCCUUGACACAAGGCUAAACAGCUGGGUAGAAAACUCUUGGCCAACUUCUUCUCUUUGUAAGUGCAGAAUGAGGCAAAGAAGGCAACUGGAGCAAACCCGAUGGCUCUUUACUUGUGGGUGCCUGGCUUUCUUUGCCUGUGGGUCUGAAAGAUUGUUUUUCUUUGUUCUUGGAACUUAAACACUUUGCCAGCAAAGAUCUGGGUGUGGCAUUCUCAGUUUGGUAUGGGAUAUAAGAAAUUCUUCAAUUGAUACAUUUAAGUCUUCAAAACAUGCAUACAUAAAAUAAGUAUACUAUGUUUUAAAUAUUUAAUAUUGUAUAUAGUUUUUGUGCACCAUAUUCUAUGAUAUAUUACAUGUGUUAUAUACGUCUGUAUAUAUGUAUAUAGCAUAUAUGUCACAUCAUGUCUGCCUCUUAUAUAACAUCCCUCUACAACCCUGCCUUUCCUCUGGAACACCUAGUCAUCGGAACCAUCAUUUUAUUCUCUAAAUCCUUAUCUGUCCUAUUUUCUCUUGUGGUUACAGCUCUUGGUGCUUGUCCUCGGUAUGGUGGAAGAGCUUCUCAUUUUAUUCUAUCUGUAUUUUAUUUGUUGGUGAAUCAGGAUAACACUGGCCUUGAACUCCUGAUCCUCUUGCCCCAGCCUCCCAUGUGCUGAGUGACUUAACCCAUAGUCUUAUUACAGGAUCUGUGCAUAUUAUCUUUUACUAUUUUCUGGUAAUACAGCUGUAUCAUCCUUGCCUCAGCCUCUCGUGACCACUGACCUGUUUCCUGGCAGAGUCUGAGCCUCUAACUCUCCAGUUCCCAACUGAUGAGCACAGAGAGUACUAACCGUGCCCACUGUGUACUUGUCAUCCUGGGGAUCAGCGGGGUGAUCAGCUGGGAUCACUUGGCACAGACAGCCGGGGACACUGUAGUGUCCGCACUUGCAGCGUAUUGUGGGACCUGGACAGGAGCAGCAUGGUGGUGCUGUCCGAGGCCUUGCCUUUGCUCUGGCUUCACGCUGGCUACUCUGUGGCACACAACUGUGUAAUCUGAAGUCUUGAUGCUGGGAUUCUAGGGGGAUCUGCCAUUGCUCACAGAGAGACAUACAUACACCUACACAAAUGCAUACAUACAGGCACAUACAAAAAGGACACACAGGCACACAUAUAUACAUAAACAAAUAGACACAAUCACACCCACACAGAGAGGCAUAUAUAUAUAUAUACACAAAUACAUACAGUCAGACACACACACACACAGAAAGAGAGAGAGAGAGACAUACACAUCAGAGUUGGUGGCGGCAGGGUUUGUUGCCGUUCUGGACAUUAGAGAGCAUCUAGAUUAAGCAAAUCCUAAACUUGCCUCAUAAAGUAACAAUUGCCUUGAAGAUCAGCAAAUGUUUCCUGAGUUCUGAGUUAGAGACCCCCUCACUUACAUGAUCAGGAAAUUGGAACAUGGUUUCUCUACCUCAAGCGGCCCAUCACUGGGUAACUAAAUGGCUUUCCCCCUUCAUUGUCACAUGUCCUUCUGAAUUCAAACAGAAUAAAUACCUAGAAAAGUGAUGGAGAGAGGGAACUGCAUUCUGGGAAGCGGGGUUUUUAUGGCCCAGAAAAAAAACAAUCCUUAUAGCAGUGCAUGAUGGGAACUUAACAUCCUCUGUUGAUCCAGGUAAAAAGUAAAUAGACAUCAAAUGAAUCGCCGGGACCCCAUGUGCUGUCUCUCCUCACGGAAAGCACGGCCCUGCUUCAGAAGUAGCAGCUAUUUUCCAAAUGACGAUUCUGUGCCCAUGUGACAUAAACCACACAAGGUCAGGAAGCAAGAUGUGGAGCUGGCCUAAUGGUUUUUUUUUUGGUUCUUUUUCUGCAGCCUGGCGUAGAGCCUUGAGCCUUGAGCAGAGGUAGGCAACCACCUAGGGCUUACCCCUCCCCAGAGAUGUGAUGGAGCUUGGUGGAGAUAACAUGCUCUGGGUUACUUAGAAGGGAGUUUAUCUCUCAGCUACAGACGUUUCCACGGAGGGUGUGGAUCGUUCUGGUAAAUUCUGGGGUGCAUACACUUAACUAUCAGAGUGGCACGUGAAGGAGGCUAGGAGUGUUCUCUCCAGUGGGAGAUGUCUUGCAGUAGAAUGCCUCUCGAGAGUUUAGGGUCUGCGUGAGGAGCUGGUCACUGCUUCAGCAGUGAGACCCCCAGAAUGGAGGCAGAAGUGGAGAGUGACAAAAAUCUCAAGGACACUUAAGAAACCAGAAGACUGGAGCUCUCCAUCCCAGAGGCCAGAAGGGCGAAUCAUCGACAUGAGAAGCUGCUGCCCUUCUCAUCUCUGCAAGGAUGAGCUGGACCAGAGAUUCCAAAGGUUCCUGGCAGCCAAAGAAAAUGAUGAAGGACCUUGUGGUUUGGAGGGGGAGGGUGGUUUGUUUUUUAAAACCCGAUUUAGUUAGACAGUUGCCUUUUACCUAACUCCUUUGUGGAUAAAUACAUCGUCCAACCUCACUAUCUUUAUUAGAUUCCAAGCCACUGACAAAUUCUGGUCUGAAUGCAAUUCCUUUUUUACCUGGUCUGGGGCACCUGUACUGAGCUCUUCUGCAGACGUAAAUCAUCCCUAGGGGUUGGGGUUAGCAGGGGUGGCCACGGUUGCUAAGAGCUUGGGAGGCAACUUGCGCCAGGUGGGAGGGGAGGCAUGAUGGAGGCUUGCUCUUUUCUCUGCUAGGUUUAAUCUUUCGCUGUGGGUUUGCUGGCUGUGCCCGUAAUUAAAUGAGGGAGGUGUUUGUCAUCCUGGGUCCCUUUCAGCCGAGCUGAAUGCAACACAACUUUCUCAGGAAGCUUCUGCCAAAACAGUGUUUGUGGCUGGAGCCAGGACAUAGACAAAGACACCGGGCAUGCGCACUGGGAACUGGGGGGCCACCUAGGGGCAGUGCCAGGCCGCCGCUGCCCUCGAGCCCCGGGCCAAGGCUGUUUGGAAACUAAGUGCUUCAAUUUCAAUGUCGUGAAGAUUCGUGUGGUACAGAGUGGCUGCAAAGUGUCCCCGAGUUAAUGAGGGAGAAUGAAUGCCUGGCACGCUGGUGCGUUCUGCUUGAGGCCAGGUUCCCACAGAGGCCUUUGGGGUACUGCGCACGUGUAUUAAAUCCGAGUCGGAAGCGGCCUGGGCUAGAGCCACCAGGGGAACCACAUUCCUCCUGCCUGCUAAUGGGGUUGCCUUUUUCUCAAUAAGAAACACCCAACCAUUCAACAUAUGCGUCUCACCUUCAUAGCCGGUCCUCCCUACAUUCCACCCAACCCUGUGGGAACUCAGAACAACUGGAAAGGGAGGCAGAAGAGGCACUGUUGUCUUUGUUUCCUCUGGGAGAAACUGGCUUGAGAACUGGACUGCAUGAGAGAGUGGUAAGGCUGGGCGUUGCAUUCGAUGCUUUGAUUCCUUGGUGUUAUUGUACGAGGAAGGAGAAGGCACGCAGGAAGGACUGGGUGUGUGCGCAUUCUCACUGAAAGUGCAGAGCAACCCGGGGAGGCAGCUGCGAGUGCCCACUGAAGUCUUUGCAUGCGGAGACUGCGUUCACAGAGGUUACACACUGCUUCCCCGUGGUCACUCAGCAAGCAGAGCAGGGGGAGGGACUCCACAGUUCCCACAGUCCCUCCUCACAGACUGCCAUGCUAUGUCCGGCGACCUAAAAUCUUUCCCAAAUACAUUCCCUUCUUCAUGAUUGUUGUGUGUUUGUGUGUGUGUGCACACAUGCAUGGGUCCUGUGGGAAGGCCAGAGGCCUCAAGUGUGUUUCCCGAUUAUUUUCUUCAUUGUAUGAGACAAGGCUUCUCACUGAACCUGGAGCUACUGACUCGGUGGGACUGGCUGGUGAGCAAGCCCCAAGGAUCCAGCUGUCCCCCGCCACCCCUGACACUAGGGUCAUAGACAUGGGCUUGGCGUGGCUUUCAUGUAGGCCCCGGGGAUGGAACUUAGAUCCUUAUCCCAUGUAUGCCCAGCUCUUAACUGACCGGAUCAUCUCUCCACACUCUCUUCAGCCUCAUUUCGAUCUUCACCAAUUUCACAGUCUAGGUGGAACUGACUCGGAUCCUUUGGUUUUAUAGUUGGCAAAACAGAAGCUCAGAGAGUUAACUUGACCUGGACACAGUCACAUGCCACCAGGGGCGGGGCCGGGGCUCAGUAGUUUUGUUCUUAGAAUGUGGUUCUUCCUCUUGCGUACCAGGAUCCUUUGCAGGGAGGUCUCUGCAUGGCCAGUGAGGACUCACUGGGCAGUUUAAAGAAGAGAAUGCAAUUUUCCUUAGAAAAUGUGGCACGGCAUCAAUGCUUUGUGCAUGUUUCAAUUCAAUGCUAAGAAACAAAAAUUUUAUACCUAUUUUUUUUUUUCAGGAAUUGAACCUAGGGCUUCAUACAUGUUAGGCAACUGCUCUACCACUGAGUUACCUCCUUAGCUCUCCAUUGUUUUUUGUAAAGAUUCUUUCUUUUUUUUGGUGAUUUUUUGAGACAGGGUUUCUCUGUGUAGCCCUGGCUGUCCUGGAACUCACUUUGUAGACCAGGCUGGCCUCGAACUCAGAAAUCCACUUGCCUCUGCCUCCCAAGUGCUGGGAUUAAAGGUGUGCGCCACCACUGCCCGGCUUGUAAAGAUUCUUAAGGGGCCCCAUGGAAACCUCCAAACCACCCAGGCUGUUUCCAAGGUUACUGUUUCCUCUCUACAAACUGAUGGUAAGGCCUUAUUGCUGAAGACACCGCCUAUAAAACUCACGACCACGGAAAGUCGAGCUGGUGCCUGCCUAAGCCUUCCCCCUACUGACUGGUGUCCAUGAUACUGGAAGGGACUCUGUAGUCUACAGAGGAGCAAGGUAAGCAUUAACCCAGCCAUGAGCUCUUCCAUCUGCAAUGGUGACCCGCGAGAUCACUAGUAUAACAGUGGCACACGGCUUGUAGGUGUGACCAACCAACAUCUGACUAGGUUCAAGGCCCCUCCACGAGAUGGAACUCAUUCUUGACAUUACUUGAGUGGCCAAGAACCUGAGACUAAGUAGACCAGGAUCCUUAGGGGAAGCUAAAAAUCAUUGUUCUGUUAAAGGAAUGCGGCAAUAAAAUGAUUUCUAACAACAUCCUGCUCUAUCAGUCUCCUAGAUCAAUUUCUUAUUCGGCCUUUAUAAGAGACUCAUACUAGGUAAUACCCAGGGCCAUACAACGUAGCGAGAGUGAGAGACCUUGGAGACUCUGUUCUAGAGGGGAUGCCUCCAUCAAGUCUCUCCCCCCAGGGCUCAGGGGACCCUGUGGAAAGGAAAGAGAAGUAUUUAAAGUCAGAGGAGAUGGAAGACACAAAGGAAACAAGGCCUUCCCAACACAGUAAGACCAAGGCACAUUUGAACUUGCAGACACGGAGGUGGCAUGCACAGGGUCUGCACAGGUCUAGGCCCGAUGUGAUCCCAGUGCUAAGGGGGAACUGGACACAAGCCCCAUCCCUAACCUAGGAGCUAUCUCCAGUUGAUAACUGCCCACAAAGGAAACCUUAGUUUUCUCUAAUGGAGUCUCACUAGGAAUGGAAACUAUUCGAGACAGGGUUUCUCUGUGUAGCCCUGGCUGUCCUGGAACUCAUUCUGUAGACCAGGCUGGCCUCGAACUCAGAAAUCCACCUGCCUCUGUCUCCCAAGUCUGGGAUUAAAGGUCUAUGCCACCAUUGCGUGGCUGCAUGUAGACUAAUCUUACAGACAGUCACUGUGCCCAACAGUAGAUAGCAAACACAAUAUGAUGUCAUUGUCUCAGAAUGCUUUGUCUGGGCAUUUUAUUUUGUUUAUUUGUUUAUUUGUUUAUUUAUUUAUUUGUUUAAUUGAACCUUACAGAGCCUUUUCUUUUGUUAGUUUGUUUCAUUCUAUUCUCAAUUGUUUGUUUGUGUGUGUGUGUGUGUGUGUGUGUGUGUGUGUGUGUGUGUGUGUGGUGUAUGCUUGCAUUCAAACGAAAAAAGAGAGAAAGAAAAGGCAUGGAUUUGGGUGAGAAAAGAAUGGAGAGGAGUUAAAGGUGGAGAAAUUGUAAUCAGAAUAUAUUGUACACAUACAUGUAUUAUGUAUAUGUAUUUGUUUGUUUGUUUGUUUGUUUAUUGAGACAGGAGAGCAGGCUGGCCUCUAGCUCACAGAGAUCCACAUGCCUCCCGAGUGCUGGAAUUAAAGGCAUCUGGCACUAUUCCCAAACAUUAUAAGUACUCUAAAAUUUUUUUCCUGUUGGACUGGGAGCUAUCCCUGUGGGUAAACUGCCUGCUGUGCCACUGUGAGGACCCGGGGUUUGGGUCCUCAGGAAGGAUGUGACACACAGCAGUAACCAGGAUGCUGGGUGGGAGAGACUGGAGAAUCCCCGGAGCUAACUGCCCAGACAGUCUAGCCAAUCGGUGAGUCGCAGGCUCAGAGAGAGAUCCUAUCCCAAAAAACAAGGCAGAGAGAGGCUGAGGAUGAUGCCCAAUAUCAACCUCUGUCCUCUGUAGGACCAGCACAUAGAUACAUGCAGACACACACACACUUUACUGUCAAAUAGAAGCUAUAUUCCUGAGUGUGUGAUAUUUCAAUGUAUAAUAGUAGGACCAAUUGCCUGUCCCCUGCUUUAAGAAAUAGUUCUAAUUUAUUUAUAGACAGUAAAUAGCAAAGCCGUUUACUUCUCGCCCUUUAGGAGCUGUCCUGCUCUGUGACAUGCUGAGAUUCUUAAAAUUUCCCUCCCUUUCUCCCACUUUUUACCUUUGUUUUAUGUAAAUAAGAUCACAAAACAAACAGAGCUUUCGCCAACUCUUUGAAGUUUGUUUUUAAUAAAAAGGAAAAUUGAGGCCAUGGGGAACAGCAGAGGCGAUCUGGAGCGGGCUAGUGUGGCGGAAGGGCUGAGCUCUGGGUUUCAGCCAAGGCACGCUGAGCCCUGGGGCUGCUUUCUGUCACUUGCAGCUUGGGGCCUCUGGAGGCAGGGUGAGCACGGUCCUGUCUCAAGAACAGGACGAGAGUCACAACAGCAGCAGCUUCAGCUACAGAUGGCUUCAGUAAACCCCGGCGUCUGUACUGGACGGUCCACGGGUCAAGCUAGGCAAGUAGGCACCGUCUCCUACCGCUGUGUAAGGACAGUGACCUUCCCCGCUCUCCCCCACCAGGCAGACACGGUUCUUAAUCAGCCUUUCUAAAUCCUAGCCUGGUGAUGGAUAAAAGGCGGGUUAAUUACAAAAAUACUAAUGAUUAUAUGACUCUUCUAAUUGUGUACAAUUAGAAUGUAUGUCUUUAAUUUUCCCUGAAACUUCUGGUAGAGUGUUCCAUUUCCCUCACAGCUGUGCAGGUGACAAACUCAGGAAAUUAACAAAUUGCAUUGGAGGCCUCUCAGCUCCCAAUACACCUUUACACUCGGCUCUUAGCCGAUGUCUUUAGGGGUAACCGAAUUCUUGUGCGAUCACAGCCGGGAAGCCAAUACCUUUUAAUUACCACACUGCAGAAAUCGUACCUCCUCCUGUCACUUCAGCACCUCUAAUUAGUCAAUUGGUUGAAAUCACAGCCUUGGGAUGAGAGGUGUUCAGGGGUGGGGCAGCCCUAUUCUUGCAGUAGGAAAGGACGCAGCAUCGCCAGUCUCCAUGAAUGUACCUUUGUUCUUCUAGGUCUCUAGACAAGCUCCUACACAUGUGAUGAGGCCCACCCACAGACACCUCCUCCAGGGAGUCCUCCCUGCUUUCCUGGUACUGCUCCUACCCUUACUCAGUAGGCACUUGGCAGUGGUGGGUAGUCAGGCCAACAUUUUUCAUGCCCUAUGGGGUCUCCGAUGGCUCCCAGUGGAGGAGAGGAAAAUAUUUCUAUACUUUCCGCUGGACAGAAACGCACAGAAUGUAGCCACAGAGGCAAGAAAAGCUAUUCCUUUGAGGAAGAGGGGGCUGGGCCUAGCUCUUUGAGACUGGCUCAAAGCUCCACAUUCUUUUUUUUUUUUUUUUUUUUUGGUUUUUUGAGAUAGGGUUUCUCUGUAUAGCCCUGGCUGUCCUGGAACUCACUUUGUAGACCAGGCUGGCCUCAAACUCAGAAAUCCACCUGACUCUGCCUCCCGAGUGCUGGGAUUAAAGGCGUGUGCCAACAUACCCAGCAAAGCUCCACAUUCUUAUGGAGGAGUAGUUCUGAGGAGGACCCACUAAUCCAGAGCCCCCAGAAGGACUACAGGUCAGGGGUCAUUGGGCACUUCACAGUCCAGGUGCCAGCAACACCUAGGCUCCCAAAGAAAGUGCUAUCUAGAGUUCCAGUUUAGCCCCGUGAGCCCAGCACCUCCCACGGGUGAGAGUAGAGACUACAAAACUCCAGGCUGCAGAGAUUUGCUUCUUAUCACUUCCCAGAGACGGUGGUAGAAUCAAGAGAAGAGACUCGCCAUGAAUGGAGAGGUCAUUUGGGGACUGUGACUAGAUCCCUGGGUCGAGGCGGGGCUGCAAGAGUUACUGAGCCCUGCUGUGGGCUCUCAGCCUCCAGUUCCAGCCCACUGACACCUACCAGGCCUCAGCCUCCACGGGGCAAAGUCAGAGGACAGAUCCCACCCUACCUCUGCAGGGCAGGGCUGAGAUCAAGGGGUAGGUUGGCUGGGCAGGUGCUCUACAGAGAAAAAUCCUUUGUGUUACAGAAGAAAGUGUGAGCUUUGAGGCCCACAGAGCCUCAAAGAGCCCUGUGUCUGCCGGAUGCCAUCUGGCCUGCCCUGUCAGGCCUCCUUUCUCACCCCGUCACGCCCACCUUCUUUCCAAGGGAGAUGAUGCUGUGCUCAGUCCCCAGGAGGAAGCCUCCAGGGUCCUCCCAAACUUCUAGGCCAGGCCAAGAGCGCCAUCAAUCCGGCUUUACCACGUGGCAGUGCAGUGCGAUGCACCUUGUCUACCUUAAAAGACCACAGGGGAUGAGCACACCAGUCAUGAUGGGAGGAACGCCUUUCCCUAUCAGAGGUCGUAACUCCUGUGUGCAUGACGGUUAGCCCAACCCCUGGACACUCCUGAGACUUGACUCUGCAUCACACCCUUCUUCUCUGUACAGACAAUGAAUUAGCCAAUCGCAUUAGAUUACGAUGAGGUAGAGCUCCCAUGAGACACCACCUGGGCUAAAAUAAAAUCCAAGCAAACCCUCCCAACUCAGUGCCUCGCUAGCCUGGCUUGGGUCCCGGCACAACCUUUUUGCAGAAAGGUAUUGCCUUGCUUGGUUAUGUUCCCUUUGCGCAUGUGCUUCCUUGUACAAUCACCACACCAAGAAUGUUUUUUCCCAACAACAGUUCAUCCUCAAAUACGUGCUGCCAAAGUGAAUUCAGAGGGAGCAAAUGUUUGUGUCUGUAUCUCUGCAUGUGUACACGUGUCUGUGUCUGCAUGUAUAUGUGUGUGUCUGUGUGAGUGUGUGCAUUUAUGUGUGUCUCUCGGUGUGUGUUUGAGUGUUUGUGAGUGUGUGUAUUUAUGUGUGUGUUUCUGUAUAUAUAUAUGUGUGUGUGUGUUUAUGUAUGUAUCUCUCUGUGUGUGUCUGUGUGUUUGUGUGUGUGUGAGUGUGUGCAUUUAUGUGUGUCUCUGUAUGUUUGUGUGUAUAUAUGUGUAUAUAUAUUAAUAUAUAUAUAUGUUUAUGUAUGUGUCUCUGUGUGUCUGUGUGUGAAUUUGUAUAUGUGAGUGUGUGUAUGUUUAUGUGUAUGUGUCUCUUGCUCUGUGUACUUAUGUGUAUUUCUAUGUGUGUUUGUGUGGUCUCUGUAUACGUGAGUGUGUAUAUGUUUGUGUGCAUGUCUCUUUGUGUGUGCACGUGUGUGUGUGUGUGUGUGUGUGUGUGUGUGUGUCCCAGAGCUGAAGGUAGAAUCAAUAAAAGCUUUUCAGAGGAUCUUGUUCAGAUCAAUGUGAAAAAGUAACUUUCAACAACAAAGGAGUCAAGAAGAAAUCAAAAUCUUACAAAGUAUUGAGUUCCUUGUCGUGGGAGGUCAUCAAGAAGACAACCAGGGAUCAUCUUCUAGGGUGGAGGAGAGGUUCCCCAAAUCCACAGGAGAACAGAACCAGUCAGUCGGAUUAUUGUUGGGGUACAGGUGACCAGGCACCCCACAAAUCCAGGCGAACCCCGGGGUCAGCUUUAUGUGGUUGUGAGUGUUUUCCCUCUGACUGCUUUCGCCUUCUCACGUGGGUAAACGAUGCACUUCCCCCAUUCAAGACAUUGAAAUAAAACAAUGAGUUCACUUAACUGAAAAUAAUACACAAGCUCAUAAUACAAGUGGAAGAUUUUGGCAAAAUUGAGAAAGUGACUUGUGACAAAGCCUGGAAAGCCCAGGGUUCGAAUCUCAUAGAGGAGUGUGACCAGAACACAGGGACCUCAAAAAACAAAACAAAACAAAAACCCUCUACCCACAAAGUCUUAAUGUGAAACUAAACCAUUAUGGAAUGAACCUGACUUUUACCUAUGCAGCUGAGAUGGCCACUAUUGAAGAACCUAGAAGAGAGAGCAGGUGGGGAAAGGCGGUGGAAGAGAGAGCAGGUGGGGAAAAGCAGCUGGGGAAAGGUGGUGGCAGAGAGAAAUAACAGAAGCAGCCUAACAAAGAGGGCUGCCAGUUUCAGCAGUAUGUGAAUAUUCUUGGGCUAAGUAAACCCCUUACCUCAACCUUAUCUAACUGGGAGUCCUCUACUCUCUAUGCUAAUUGUAGAUAACUCUUCACUCCAAGCAUAGUAAAUAGACUUGAGCAGUGGGCUGCUUAUCUGCUGAGGAAUGUAGGUUAAGGGAGUAAAGAGUGAGUGUGCCGUAAUCCGCUAGUUAUGUCUGCAUUGGCACAGACAGAGGAAACGGUGCCAUAGGCUCCAUUCAUCUAUGUGUUAUCUUAGGCUCGUCCUGCUUUUCAUAUUAUAUUUUCAGGACAUGAAAGAAGAACUUGCCCAGGCUCAACCCCAAGUUCAUGGCUGGGCUGGAUAAAAUCUACAUUCAUCUCCAUGUGGCCUGCAGAAAACCAAAGCAGGAUGCCACCCAUGCCGUGAUUAUGUGAUUUCAGAACAUCCCUGUCUAGCGUUGAAUACCCACAGCAUCAGUCCGAGCAUACACAGCCAGGCUGAGCACCACCCGAUCCAACUCAUCACAAUGACUGCACAUGAAUGUCCUAUAAUGCCAAGGGUGGCAACAAAACCCACUUGCAGUAAGAGUAUGUAGAUGUCAUUGUGACAGCCACACUCUGAGACCGGAGGCAUUGUUGCUGGGGGCUUUUGGUUGUUGAUGGAAAUGAGAAACAAGAACCACAAAGCCAGUGUUUCACUCAGAGUUCAUUCAAACUAACAGAAUUGAACUGAAUGGGAUUGUUUUCUUAAUCUUUCCCUUUCUUCUUCCCUCAUUCUGGGUCCCGGUUUCCUUAUUGUUCAAAAGAGGAGCCUUUGUGGGGUAGUUUUAAUUUCAGAUCCAAGACUUCGUGAUUUUAUAAUUAACUCUGUGUUUAAUUUACAAAGCAAAGAGAAAGCCUUUCUUUAGGCGAGAAAAUGAAAAUGGCUGGAGAAGAGACAGCAACGCCAGAAGGGCCUUCCACCAGCUCAAUCACAAAGACGUGUGUUUACCCUAAUUGUUUUAUAUCCCCAUUUAGAUAUUAGUCUUUCACUUUCUGCUCUUUUUAAUCAAGUGCAUUCAUUAGCUCUCCCAUCGACUCAGUGAAGCUUUAUAGUUUCGGGGAACUAUGGAUGUGUUUUCUUCUGACACAGAAAUCCCACUUCUAGGAAGACCAUUGGCGUAAGUGUACACAUGACCAGCGGUAGUCCUGGAGCCCAUCCAGGCAUCCGUCAUCAGGGCUGUGUGGACUCUGGCUUAGCCAUGCCGAGAACUGAUACACAUCUGUGGGAAGAACAUGGAACGCCACUCUGCAGUGACGAAACUGUGAGCUCAGGGGAGCUUGGCCAAAGAGGAACACCAGUGGGGGCAGCACGCUGUGCGGGGAGCGUGCCCUUUCACGGAAGAAAGAAGAGGAAGAGACAAACACGCAUCAGCAGGAAAGAAGCUGGAAAAGUAAAUAUUAACCUUUCUUAGAAAAGGUCAGCUAUAAGGAUGACACAGACAGCAUGGUGGAACCUGGAACACUCGCCUGCCUUUUCCUGGAUCCUGUUGUUUUCCAUGACAUUGAUCGGUUUGAUGAAUACAGGCUGGAACUGCAAGGUGUCUAUCGGGGAGUGUGGCAAGAGUGUCUGCCAGUGGUCAGCUCCCUGAUCAGAGGACCCGAGGACCUGCCUCCCCAGCCUGGAGCUCAGCAAAUCCACCACUGCAGCUGCCUCAGUGUCCCCUGAAAAUCUCUGAUCUCCGCUUCUCCCUCUGCUGUGCCUGCUCUGAAAGGGGAGAGACCUAUCAGAGUGAAAACCCCAAAAGGAGGGAAAACACUCCAAACCUCUCCUGAUCACUGUCAUGACACGUGGCUUAAGAGCACUGGCUGGGGCUGGCAAGAUGGCUCAGUGGGUAAGAGAGUUGACUGCUCUUCCGAAGGUCCUGAGUUCAAAUCCCAGCAACCACGGGGUGGCUCACAACCACACGUAAUGAGAUCUGACGCCUUCUUCUGGUGCGUCAGAAGUCAGCUACACUGUACUUAUGUAUAAUAAUAAAUGAAUCUUUAAAAA